UGGGACUUAUAACCAUCACUUCCAUCUUGAGCAGUUAAAAGAUAGAACAGUCUAGCUAAGUGCCAUGUCUCUUAUUCUUGAUCAGCUAUAGCUCUGGGGUUUUUGCAGAUUUUCAAAUAAAACUCAGAAUUCCUUGUAUGAUUCUCUCAGGUCUCUCCUUUGUGGUAUUUUUGGAUCCUUACCAAGACAGUGAUGGUAUAUGCCUUCUCUCAAUAUAUGUGGUAUUUGUGGUUUGAGGCAUAGUGACAUUGCCUUCUCUGUCACCCUACUCUAAUAAGGCUUUAAUAUCUGGAGCUCAUAGGUGGGAAAUAAAGUAUACAUACUUACAAGACAUUUAUUGCAUAGUCAAACCAUGGAUCCAAAGAAACAAGCCAAUGAGUUUAAUCAAGAUGUGCAUGUGUGGCGAAUAAAUGGUGUAUGGUGAUGAUGGUAAUAACAAUGGUGAAAACAAUGGUGGUGGAAGUCUAAUUCUACUUUGCUCUUUGAGGGGAUACAUACCUUCCUUGCUUUUUGAAACUUUAUGAGGAGAAUGAGAUGCUCUUCUUUUUUUCUUUUCUCUCAGGUGGGUAUCUUGCACCCCUAAUUCUACUGUCGGACACUUGUCCAUUUUUACCUCUCGUCUCACUUUUUUCUUUUCUUUUGAGGUUCCGAGCACUUGCUCCUUUUUAUUUCCUCGUAUUUCUCUCUUUUUUUAAUUAGAGCAUUCAUCUCUUGAGAUAAUAUAGCAAGUGGUAGUAACAAGAUAACUUGAGCAUUUAUUUCGCAAGGGAAAACAGAAAUAUUUUUAGUUAUUCUCUCCUGGAUUAGGAGUAGAAUAUUUUUGGGUGAUUCUGGAGAUGGAAUGGGUGGAUAUAUGUGGAUGGUACUUCCGGAGUAGAAGUAGCAUAUAUGAAUGAACGUGCAAGUGAAAUCUUGAUUUAACCACAUGACAAGCUCCUAAGGGUCUACACAGCUUGACCACACUCAAUGCUCAUAAGCAGUAAAUAAUAAAUGUGUGGCUCAAAGUCUAGCAAGCAUGUAUAUAUGGCUGUGGUAGGAAUUUAAACUAUCAUCAUAUAGGAACUCAUCAUGCAACAUUUUAAAGAUUUUCAAAGAUAAAAUUCUCCAGAAUUCUAGCAUCUCUAGGAACAGAUAAACAGCAGCUCAACCUUCCCAUAUCGUAUCCGUUAACAACUUAGACUUC
rnacentral:lncRNA from 1 species